UACGUAGGGGGCGAGCGUUGUCCGGAAUUAUUGGGCGUAAAGAGCUCGUAGGCGGCUUGUUGCGUCGGAUGUGAAAGCCCGGGGCUUAACUCCGGGUCUGCAUUCGAUACGGGCAGGCUGGAGUUCGGUAGGGGAGACUGGAAUUCCUGGUGUAGCGGUGAAAUGCGCAGAUAUCAGGAGGAACACCGGUGGCGAAGGCGGGUCUCUGGGCCGAUACUGACGCUGAGGAGCGAAAGCGUGGGGAGCGAACAGG
rnacentral:rRNA from 1 species